rnacentral:lncRNA from 1 species
GCCUCCCAGGUUCAAGCGAUUCGCCUGCCUCAACAUCCCGAGUAGCUGGGAUUACAGGUAUGUGCCACCACGCCUGGCUAAUUUGUUUUGUAUUUUUAGUAGAGACGGGGUUUCUCCAUGUUGGUCAGGCUGGUCUUGAACUCCUGACCUCAGGUGAUCCGCCGCCCACCUCAGCCUCCCAAAGUGCUGGGAUUACAAGCGUGAGCCACCGCGCCCGGCCUAAACUAUUUUUUUUUUUUAAUGUAUGGGAUUCAAUAAUGAGCAUGAAGAUAAAUGGCUGCAGCAUAUUGUGAGAGUAAAGGUUUGCACAUUGAAAUCUGUUUCCAAUAAUUUUAUUCACUUUCAGUAACUGGGAAGGGAAAAGGGAGAGUUGUCUUACUCUGGUCUUGAUUUACAUAAUCUGGGUGUCAAAUGAAAAUUGCCCAAGGAUUCUGCCCUGAAUGAGAAAUAGGAACCUAAACAUCUAUAAAAAUACAAAAAAAAUUAGCCGGGCAUGGUGGCGGGCGCCUGUAGUCCCAGCUACUCCGGAGGCUGAGGCAGGAGAAUGGCAUGAAGGCGGGAGGCAGAGGUUGCAGUGAGCGGAGACCGCGCCGCUGCACUCCAGCCCGGGCGACUUUUUUUAGCUUGUAUAAUUUAUUAAGUUGCCUUAAUACAUAGCACAUUAUCCUACUGGCAUAAAAUUUUUUUUAGCAGCUUCUAAAAGUCCCUGUUCGUCAUUAAAGAGUUUAUGCUCUAGGUGACUAUGGCUUAAUAUGUACAUUAAUACAGUUACUUAGAAUGAAAUCAUGGAUUAUACCAGCACAAUGGCUACACUGACAGAUACAUUCUGUUUAUAUUCUACCUACUCUACCUCAUCUGUUUACGUGGCAUGAUGCCCAUUCAUAAGUUAAUCAAACCUUUUCUGAGAGAGGCUGCCAAAAAGACAUUGUUUUGGAAGGGCAACCAGCAAAUGUUGGAAAAGCAAAGGCAAAUAAAAAAGCUAAUUUAAAUUAAUAUGUUGAAUAGUAACAAAACGCCUGAACACUAUAUGAGAAUUUUUGACAAAGAGAAAUUUUGACAAGAAAACUGUUGUGUAGAUUACAUAAUUUAUUUAAGAAUAUUUAUUUUAAAAUUGAGAUAAUUAGUAUAUUAUUACAAAUCAAUCUUUGAAUAAAUCUUGUAUCAAGUAGGAAACUAAAAAAUAAUGUCAUCCAAAUGAAACAUUUAAAUACUUCUAAUCAAUUUUCUCUCCCCUGUGAUAUAAAAAGGCUUAAUCAAGAAGAAAAAAGAAAAAGAAAAAAUUGGCAAGAUAUUCCUUUUUUUUUCAUUUCGGCGGAGAAAAUUUUCUAUGUCUUUGUGAGAGCUUGUCUCUUCCCAUAGGAAAACAUAUGACUAAGUUGUGUUUUUCUUAUCUAAAAAAGGGAUUACAUCCUAAAAUUUUAUAUUCUAAAGGGAGAAAUGAUUUUCAUUUUUUCUCCUCUGUUACAUUUUUUCACCAUAGUACUGUAACAGUCCUUUCCCUAAUUCUAAUGUCUGAUAUCUAAAUCUAGUAUUUUUCUUUUUUUUUUUUUUUUUUUUUUUUUUUUUUUUUUUUUUGAGACGGAGUCUCGCUCUGUCGCCCAGGCUGGAGUGCAGUGGCGGGAUCUCGGCUCACUGCAAGCUCCGCCUCCCGGGUUCACGCCAUUCUCCUGCCUCAGCCUCCCAAGUAGCUGGGACUACAGGCGCCCGCCACUACGCCCGGCUAAUUUUUUGUAUUUUUAGUAGAGACGGGGUUUCACCGUUUUAGCCGGGAUGGUCUCGAUCUCCUGACCUCGUGAUCCGCCCGCCUCGGCCUCCCAAAGUGCUGGGAUUACAGGCGUGAGCCACCGCGCCCGGCCUAAAUCUAGUAUUUUUCUGAGAGUAUCAUUUACCAAUUCUACUCUGUACUGAAUGAAUGAGAGUCUGACUCUUGAGCUAAAAGAUGUCUAAUGGCUACUAAUGCUGAAGAAAUUUUAUUUUAUUUUAAAUACAGUAAUAAUUU